GCCUGGGAUCCUCGCUUCCUCCUGUUAUCCCGGAGCAGGCGAGGGAGUCUGCGCGGAGGGGACCCCGGGACCUACGCAGGGCCAGCGGUGGGGGAGGGCCCGGCCUGCAGGGUGUCGCCGAGCCGCCCUGGGGAAGCCCGGCAGCCAAAUCACAGGUUGGGAUCCGCCGGUGAUGCCGAGGUCAGUUUCCAUGGAGGCCAAUAGAAGACGUUCAACUUAAUGGAAGGAUGGGAGAGACAGGAGAAUCUUUGAAUAGCCAGAAGCAAAGGCUAGAGCUAGCCUGAAUGCCUAUUACCUGGGGAUCAACUAAAUGGAGGAUUUAUGCAACUGAGUAUGGUAUAGUAUGCAUGACACACACACACACACACACACACAAUUUGCCUUUAUAUAUUUCCUUCUGGAAGGACAAAGAUAUGUGAACAAAGGCUGCUCUGGGGAGCAAAGCCAAGAUCCAGAAGACUCUGCAGGUGAGUGGGAGGGGAGAGACCUCUGCUCUAAACCACUUCCUCUCUUUUGGAUGUUGAAUUGUCUGAACACAUUACCUAUUCAAAAAAUUAUAUCAUUCCCAUUUUAAAAGAGAGCAUUUCAAAGGGGGAGAUAAAGAGCUGGGAACUGAGCAGCUGAGAAUGAAGGGAGGGUCUGCACAGAUAGAAUAGACAAAUAGCAAGGGACCUAGGCUUGGAGGUGGGAGCAGGAUCGGGCGACUCAGGACAGGGAGUCGGUUGGAGCAGAGUUGGAGGCCUUCCUGGGAAGAAGAUGGCUGGUAAGAAAUACAGGGCAUGGAUUCAUCCAUGUGAAAGACUUUGGAUUUUAUGGCAGAU